rnacentral:tRNA from 1 species
GGGCCGGUAGUCUAGUAAGCUUUUUGGGAAAAAGCUUAACCAAAAACUUGGAAUAUGGUUAUCUGCAAUUGCAACCACAGAUGACGCCACGCUUACAACGUGGAGACCGGCAGUUCGAUUCUGCCCUGGCCCA